GACGAACGCUGGCGGCGUGCCUAACACAUGCAAGUCGAACGGAAAGGCCCUGCUUUUGUGGGGUGCUCGAGUGGCGAACGGGUGAGUAACACGUGAGUAACCUGCCCUUGACUUUGGGAUAACUUCAGGAAACUGGGGCUAAUACCGGAUAGGAGCUCCUGCUGCAUGGUGGGGGUUGGAAAGUUUCGGCGGUUGGGGGUGGACUCGCGGCUUAUCAGCUUGUUGGUGGGGUAGUGGCUUACCAAGGCUUUGACGGGUAGCCGGCCUGAGAGGGUGGCCGGCCACAUUGGGACUGAGAUACGGCCCAGACUCCUACGGGAGGCAGCAGUGGGGAAUAUUGCAAAAUGGGCGGAAGCCUGAUGCAGCAACGCCGCGUGCGGGAUGACGGCCUUCGGGUUGUAAACCGCUUUCGCCUGUGACGAAGCGUGAGUGACGGUAAUGGGUAAAGAAGCACCGGCUAACUACGUG
rnacentral:rRNA from 1 species